GCGAGUCGAUGAUGAAUAAAUUACCUACAUUGUUUGAUUCAGAUGAUAUAAAAAAUAUUAUCUGAGACUCGU